GACGAACGCUGGCGGCGUGCCUAAUACAUGCAAGUAGAACGCUGAAGAGAGGAGCUUACUCUUCUUGGAUGAGUUGCGAACGGGUGAGUAACGCGUAGGUAACCUGCCUUGUAGCGGGGGAUAACUAUUGGAAACGAUAGCUAAUACCGCAUAACAAUGGAUGACACAUGUCAUUUAUUUGAAAGGGGCAAUUGCUCCACUACAAGAUGGACCUGCGUUGUAUUAGCUAGUAGGUGAGGUAAUGGCUCACCUAGGCGACGAUACAUAGCCGACCUGAGAGGGUGAUCGGCCACACUGGGACUGAGACACGGCCCAGACUCCUACGGGAGGCAGCAGUAGGGAAUCUUCGGCAAUGGGGGCAACCCUGACCGAGCAACGCCGCGUGAGUGGAGAAGGGUGUCGGAUCGUAAAGCUCUGUUGUAAGUCAAGAACGGGUGUGAGAGUGGAAAGUUCACACUGUGACGGUAGCUUACCAGAAAGGGACGGCUAACUACGUG
rnacentral:rRNA from 1 species